GGAUAACCUACCCUUAGGACUGGGAUAACCCUGGGAAACUGGGGAUAAUACUGGAUAGGCAAUUAUUCCUGUAAUGGUUUUUUGUUUAAAUGUUUUUUCGCCUAAGGAUGGGUCUGCGGCCGAUUAGGUAGUUGGUUAGGUAAUGGCUUACCAAGCCUUUGAUCGGUACGGGUUGUGAGAGCAAGAGCCCGGAGAUGGAACCUGAGACAAGGUUCCAGGCCCUACGGGGUGCAGCAGGCGCGAAACCUCCGCAAUGUGAGAAAUCGCGACGGGGGGAUCCCAAGUGCCAUUCUUAACGGGAUGGCUUUUCAUUAGUGUAAAGAGCUUUUGGAAUAAGAGCUGGGCAAGACCGGUGCCAGCCGCCGCGGUAACACCGGCAGCUCUAGUGGUAGCAGUUUUUAUUGGGCCUAAAGCGUCCGUAGCCGGUUUAAUAAGUCUCUGGUGAAAUCCUGCAGCUUAACUGUGGGAAUUGCUGGAGAUACUAUUAGACUUGAGAUCGGGAGAGGUUAGAGGUACUCCCAGGGUAGAGGUGAAAUUCUGUAAUCCUGGGAGGACCGCCUGUUGCGAAGGCGUCUGACUGGAACGAUUCUGACGGUGAGGGACGAAAGCUAGGGGCGCGAACCGGAUUAGAUACCCGGGUAGUCCUAGCUGUAAACGAUGCGGACUUGGUGUUGGGGUGGCUUUGAGCUGUCCCAGUGCCGAAGGGAAGCUGUUAAGUCCACCGCCUGGGAAGUACGGUCGCAAGACUGAAACUUAA
rnacentral:rRNA from 1 species